CACGUAGGGGGCGAGCGUUGUCCGGAUUUAUUGGGCGUAAAGAGCUCGUAGGCGGUUUCGUAAGUCGGGUGUGAAAACCCCAGGCUCAACCUGGGGACGCCACCCGCAUACUGCGAUGACUAGAGUCCGGUAGGGGAGUGUGGAAUUCCUGGUGUAGCGGUGAAAUGCGCAGAUAUCAGGAGGAACACCAACGGCGAAGGCAGCACUCUGGGCCGGAACUGACGCUGAGGAGCGAAAGCGUGGGUAGCGAACAGG
rnacentral:rRNA from 1 species